CCCCGGCACUCUCUCUCCCAUCCCUAAAAAAACUCUCUCACAAACUCACCUGCUCCUCUCCCCACGAUCUCCUCGCCGCCGCCACCACCCACCCACGAUCUCCCCCAAGCUCCCACCUUCCUCCGCUCUAAUCCCCCAUGGAAGCCACCGCCGCCGCCUCCCUCGCGCGGACCCUCGCCUCCUCGCUGCUCCCCCGCUGCUCCCGCCGUAGCCGCGUGCGCGUGGCCGUGGCGCCGGAGCGGCGGAGGAGGGGUAGGGCGGUGCUCUCCGCGGCGGCCUCGACGGGCAACUACAUGGUGCCACCUUCCUCCAAGACCAGCCGCCUCGUGCUGCGGCUGAUGGCAGUGGCGCAGCGAGUCUCCCACCUCACCACCACCGCUGCUUGCCGUCCGUCCCUCCUUCCGUCUAUGGCCACGGCGACCUCCGGCGUCAGCAGGCUCAGCGCAGCGGCGGGUAACAACGACGGCGACGUCGGCCUCCAAGACCCCAUCCCGGCCUCUGUUGGAAUAUGUAGGUACCCACUCCUUCCCCUUCCCCUUCACUUGCUGCCCGCUCUCUUCAAAUCUGUUUCUGCAUCCUCUGUUAGAACUUGUUUGCUCUCUGUUUUUUGGAGAUGUGCUAGUCUGUAUGAAUGUAUAAUUGGUACGUAGCUCAAAACGAAACUUGCAAAUGGUUCAAUACAUUUACAGGCAACACCGAGAUGGCAUGGUUGAACGCAAAAAGCAAAUGCCAUGACUGACGAAACUGAAAAAAUUGAACACUUCCUUCCUCGUCCUGGGUGAAAACCAUGUGACUGCACAACCGUGCUUUGCUAGUACAUGCAGGUUCAGUGAGUUUGGAACCGAUGGAGGACAACAGCAAAGUCUCUGAAUCCAAAGUUCAACCUCUUUGUCAAGCAGGUGUCCGCCAGCAUUGGGAUGGCAGAGCCACACAUUGAUUCUUUCAUUGCCUUUACCGUGUUUCUUAAAGCCUUUGGUGGUCUCCUUUUCAUCAUCAGCAGCUCGUUUGGAGCAUUCGUACUGGUGUGUACUCUUCUUCUGAAUGUACUGUAUCAAGAAUUAUUUCAUGUUAAGGGGGUAUCAAGAUGCAUACUAUUGUGGCUGCCAUUAAAUGUAGACUUGCAGCACCAUGUCUUCUCAAACUAAUAAAAAGGAAGUAUUGUUGCCAUGCCAUUUAGGUAGUUUUAACAAUUUUAGUGUGUCCAUUUUACUGGUUGUAAAAUGCCAAAUCUGGCAUUAUUGCUGCUUCGAUGUUUGAUCUUCAUACAUUUUGCUUCUGCAAUAUCCUGUUGUAGCAUCUGACAGUGGAAUGCUUCAACAACAACCUUCCUGAAAGAUUCCAAAUGUGGUGGCAGGUUAUUCUUAUUUUUUAACCACUUGAUAGGCUCAUGUCUGUUGAGUUUGUGCAACUGAUUUGCUACAGUCCAAAUUUACGUGUUUAUGCUUAUAUUUAUUGUUUGCAUUCUAUAUGUGACAAUGCAACAGUUCUUUGAGGCAUCAAUCCAUGAUAACUGGGCAUAUCGGUUUAUGCUUAGAUAUAAAGAAACCAAAUAUAUAUUCUGUCUUAUUAUACGGAACCAAUUGUAUUUAAUCCAUGUUAAAAUGAUUAUGCAUUUAUCAUGUUGGAACUUCUUUGUCAAGCAGGUCUCCGCCAACAUUGGGAAUUUGGGAUGGCAGUGCCACACAUUGAUGGCAAUGGAUAAAAUCUACUCUGGAUAGUUGACAGAGAGAGUACAUGCUAAGUUGACUUUUUUCCUGCGGAUUUGCUUAUCCUGAAGAUGCUUGCAAGGAUGCAGAGGGAGCGGAUCAUUUGGAGAGAUAGGAUGCCACUGUUUGGUGUUUUUAUGCAUUUUGGUGUGCUUGUAACUGUGUUUGCACUAGCUGGGAGUAAGUGACUUGGCAAGAAGUGUAGGUGUUUUAAUUGAAGGCAUGAAAAGCCAUGACAAUAUGUAUGCUCUUACAGGAUGUGCUCUAACGCCGCUGGUUUAUUAUAAAUCUUGGAUUAGUAAUGA